AGAGAUGUGUGAUGACGCAUAUCAAUAAGCGGAGGAAAAGAAACUAACAAGGAUUCCCUUAGUAACGGCGAGUGAAGCGGGAAGAGCUCAAAUUUGAAAUCUUCAAGGUUCUACCUUGACGAAUUGUAGUUUAUAGAAGUGUUUUCUGUUAGUAGAGUGGCAAAAGUUCUUUGGAAUAGGACAUCAUAGAGGGUGAGAAUCCCGUAUUUGGUCAUUCUUUCUAGCUUUGUGAUACACUUUCAAAGAGUCGGAUUGUUUGGGAAUGCAGUCCAAAAUGGGUGGUAAAUUUCAUCUAAAGCUAAAUAUUGGCGAGAGACCGAUAGCGAACAAGUACCGUGAGGGAGAAGAUGAAAAGAACUUUGAAAAGAGAGUUAAACAGUACGUGAAAUUGUCAAAAGGGAAGCGUUUGACACCAGUGUUGUUUUUCCGAAAAUCAAUUACGAAUGUUUUAGUUUUUGAGGAAGUUAUGACUUCAUCGGCUUGCUCCUUUCUUUAUGAAACUUUCUUAAUGCACUUUUCGGUUAACAAGUCAACAUCAAUUUCUUUUGUUGUAAAAGGGUAUGAGGAAGGUGGCUUUCUUUUCGGAGAAAGUGUUUAUAGCCUUGCUACCUCUGCAAUCGGAGAGAUUGAGGUCUGCAGCGUAGAUCCUUCGGGGUUAGAUACAUUUGUGCUAAGUUAUAGCUUUUCAUAGACAACUUGUUGACUAUGUUUAGUCUUGUAGCUUACUCGCUUAUGCUAUUUUACCUACGCUUAGGAUGUUGAACUCUAUCACACACAG
rnacentral:rRNA from 1 species